CUUACCCUUUAUCUGAGAUACCGGCGGAUUUUGCCCGCCUCCUCGAAUUCUUCUUACCUUUUGUCCUGCGUUACACGCCGGGGAAAGGAAUUCUGGGAUCGUGUGUUAUGCUGAUGCAAAGUGUUUUUAAGAAGUAAAGAAGUUGUAAAACAAUGGAUACAAGUGUAUAUUUAUAAUACAAGAAAUGACGAUUCUGAAAAAGAAGCUGAUGACCAGAAUAAGGGAUAGGAAGAUGACCUGUUUGCUUGAAGAGCGAGACCAGAGAGCAAGGAGCGGAGUAACUUGAUCCUUGAGGGUGCCUUUGGCUUAAGGGGGAAGCUGACUCUUCCGGAGAAUCCUGGAGCCGACAACAAAGGAACUCAGCACCCAGCUAACUUCCAGGAAGAAGCUUCCUUUCCUCCCCCUGCUUUUCCCCUUUCCCCUCCUUUCUCUCUCUGCAGCCAUCAGAAAUAAACUCUGGCUCAUUUCAUCUGAAAUAUGCUUUAUUCCAGGGAGAGUAAUAGCUCAGAGAAUCUCUGAAAAAGAUCUCUAGAAAAAUCUCUAGAAAAGACAAGGAAACAGAUUAUCCCCUAGAGCCUCCAGAAGGACUCUCGCCCUAUUUCCAGCACGGGUGUACCCAACAUGGUUCUCACUGGAAUUACAGCAAAUUGGAAGACAGUGGUGGUGACACAGGGUGAAGAACUACUUUUCAGAGGGUGAAACACAAGACUGGCUUUUAGGAAUUUUCCCCCAAAGUAAUUUGUGACUGGAUCCUGUUGCCGAAACUUGGCCUCUGUUCACCGGUGCCGAAGAGGAACGCGGAGACAGAGUUUUGGUUCCCCGACCACGGAUCGAACCCGUGCGCCCUGCAGUGGAAGCUCACAGUCUAAACCCUGGACCGCCAGGGAAGUCCGUGAGUUUUUUUUGUUCAUGUUGUUGUUUGUUUUAAUUUUUCAACUGUUACUAGGAAAUAAUUGUGGAGCAAGUGCUUGGUUUUAAUGCUGGAAAGCAAAAGAACGUAACUAAGGACUUUUCCCAAGGAAUGCUUUGAGAUCUUUAUGUCAAUUUGUGGUGUGACUUAUCCACUUUUUCAAUUAAGGAUUCUUAAUUAAAGGAAAACAAACUUAUUUAUAGGUUCGAAUCAGUCUUACAGAGCAACAGGUUUUCAACUGGGAUCCGCAGCCCACCCGCAUCUGAAACAUGUGGUUUGUGUGUACGUGAAAAAUGCAGACUCUAGGGCCCCACACCAACGAAACCUCUGGGGGUUGGAGCCCAGGAAGGAGCUUCUGUAAUCUCCACAGCUGAUUCUGAGGCACUCUAAUUGUAAGAACUGCCCUUUAAUAUUUUUAGAUAAGGGGAUUGUUACAAAAUGACAAGAGGGUAAAUAAUCAUUCUUUUAAAGUUAGACUUCAAGCGUUGGACAGCGAGGUGAGCUCUUCCUGACAGUUUGUCUUUCCUGUUCUCCCCCACUCAGCCU